rnacentral:rRNA from 1 species
UACAGAGGUCCCAAGCGUUGUUCGGAUUUACUGGGCGUAAAGGGUGCGUAGGUGGUUGGGUAAGUCUGAUGUGAAAUCUCCGGGCUCAACCCGGAAAUGGCAUUGGAAACUACCUGACUAGAGGGUUGGAGGGGGGACUGGAAUACUUGGUGUAGCAGUGAAAUGCGUAGAUAUCAAGUGGAACACCAGUGGCGAAGGCGAGUCCCUGGACAACUCCUGACACUGAGGCACGAAAGCUAGGGGAGCAAACAGG